rnacentral:snRNA from 1 species
AUACCUUUCUCGGCCUUUUGGCUAAGAUCAAGUGUAGUAUCUAUUUUUAUUAGUUUAAUAUCUGAUAUAUGAGCCAUGUGCCCACAACGAUAUUAAAUUUAUUUUUAAUGAGGGAGGGAUCAUCACACUGGCUUGCUGCUUGGUUCCUCAGGUGUCAUUAAAUUUAUUUUUAAUGAGGGAGGGAUC